UCUAAUAUGGCAGAGAAGUGCAGUGGAUUUAAGCUCUACAAAUAAAGAUUUACUUUUAUUAGAA
rnacentral:tRNA from 2 species